GAGUUUGAUCGUGGCUCAGGAUGAACGUUAGCGGCGUGCCUAACACAUGCAAGUCGAACGAACAGCCAGAAUCUUAGGAAUCUGGCGGGUUAGUGGCGCACGGGUGAGUAACACGUAGGUGACCUGCCCCGAAGUGGGGGACAACCACUGGAAACAGUGGCUAAUACCGCAUGUGCUUAGCCAUUCGGUUGGUUAAGUAAAGCUGAGGCGCUUCGGGAGGGGCCUGCGGUCGAUUAGCUAGUUGGUGAGGUAAUGGCUCACCAAGGCGAUGAUCGAUAGGGGCGUGAGAGCGUGACCCCCACCACUGGACGU
rnacentral:rRNA from 1 species